CUUGAAAUCUGGCGGCAUGCCUAACACAUGCAAGUCGAACGAGUUGCGGACGGGUGAGUAAUGUCUGGGAAACUGCCCGUUGGAGGGGGAUAACUACUGGAUACAGUAUCUACUACCGCAUACCAUCGUAUGCGCCCAGAUGGGAUUCGCUCGUAGGUGGGGUAACGGCUCACCUAGGCGACGAUCCCUAGCUGGUCUGAGAGGAUGACCAGCCACACUGGAACGGAGAGAAGGUCCAGACUCCUACGGGAGGCAGCAGUGGGGAAUAUUGAACAAUGGGCGCAAGCCUGAUGCAGCCAUGCCGCGUGUAUGAAGAAGGCCUUCGGGUUGUAAAGUACUUUAAGCGAGGAGGCGUUACUCGCAGAAGAAGCACGGGCUAACUCCGUGCCAGCAGGCGCGGUAAUAC
rnacentral:rRNA from 1 species